rnacentral:rRNA from 1 species
GCUUAUGGCCAUAUCACGUUGAAUGUAUCGGUUCUCAACCAAUCACCGAUGUCAAACAACAUUGAGCCUAGUGAGCACUUAGAUACAUGACAGCUUGGGAAACCUAGGUGCUAUAAGCA